rnacentral:rRNA from 1 species
ACGCUCGACAUCUACGGGAGGCCGCAGUGGGGAAUAUUGCACAAUGGGGGAAACCCUGAUGCAGCAACGCCGCGUGAAGGAAGACGGUUUUCGGAUUGUAAACUUCUGUUCUUAGUGAAGAUAGUGACGGUAGCUAAGGAGCAAGCCACGGCUAACUACGUGCCAGCAGCCGCGGUAAUCUGAGGCGGGCUGGACAAGGC